rnacentral:tRNA from 1 species
GGCACCAUAGCCAAGCGGUAAGGCAUUAGUCUGCAAAACUUUGAUCGCCGGUUCGAAUCCGGUUGGUGCCUCCA